UGUGGGAUGUAUGAUGAGGAAGCGGAUCACUCCUAUUUCAUCAUUAGCCCUCCACACUCUCGUUCUCUUUUCUCUCUCUCUCUCUCCCUCUCUCUCUUUCACUCUCCCUCUGUCUCUCCCCGUCCUGCUUUUUCCUGAGUUGCCGCGCACUCUUUCUCGCUGCUUGGCGCGCGCGCUCUCUCUCCCUCUCUCUCUCUCUCUCUCUCUCUCUCUCUUUUCUCGGUUUCUUCUACUUCCCCCUGUCUCCCUCGCUCCGUUCCUCUCUCUUCCCCUUCUCUCAGUCCCAGCCGCUCGCAAGGGGGAGACUGGAGCUCUGCAGGAGGAAAAAAAAAAAAAAAAGAGUGAGCGAACGAAAGAGAGGGCGAGCGGGAGAGAGAGAGAAAAAAAAUCUGCUGCUAUUUCUACAGAGAGGGCCUCCCCUCCGCCCGGCCCUGCCAGAGAGGGAGGGUUUCUUUACUACUAACUGGAUUUAACCCUCUGGCUGCAACUCUCUGCAUCGCAGCCCGCAGAAACCUGCUAACAAGUUGCUUUUUGUGGGGCAUUUUCGUGACAUUUUCGCGCGCCAAGAUCUGACGGUUGGGAUGUUUUUUUCACGGCUCGUUUUCGCCAUCGUCUCCGACGCACGUUGUCGGCGGCGGCGCCGCGGCAUGUUUUUCGCGUUCUCGUUUGCGUACGCGCGACGAUCUUUUUCUGCUUUAUUUUUUAUUUUUUCCCCCCGCUUCGCAUCCAUCUUCGUGUUUUGUAUUUUCUUCUUUUUUUUGUCGGCGAUGUUGCGGGGUUUAUUAUUUUUUUGGAGGCGAUAGCUCUGUGUGGUUUUUCCGUGGCGCUGCAUGAUGGCAUUUGGAGGUUUGGCCACCUGGACUUUGCUGUGCCCCCGUCGGCGGCCUCCCGGCCCGGGCUCCUGAAGGCGAACUCCGGGCAGCUCGGUCCCUUUCCUCCCUUUUGUCUUCUCUCCGCCGAGGACGGGAAGAGUUUCUGUCUCAGAGCACGGCGCGCACAUCUGCGAGUUAAAAGACGUGCCUUUUAGCUGCGGAGAGCGGCGGAGGGAAGGGGGAAAAGCGCGGAGCGUGGAGCGUGAAGCACGAGCACGAGCCAGGCCUUCCCCGAUUUCACCUUCGAGUGCUGCACUUUGGGAGACUCCCGCCGCAAUCAUUUCAUUUGGAAAGAUGGCAGACCACAGAUUUUCCGUUUUUCCAUGAGAUACCCGGGUGCCGUGAUGCAAUGUCACAGCACAAAGAGGGCAUGGGGACAAAGAUGGCAGUUGCACAUUCACAAUCAGAUAGAGUAUCCCUGAGCAAAGCAGAGGUGCAGAGGACAGCGUCUGAG